CACAGAGAACUGCUUCAUGCACCAGGCGGAUGAAAAGGCCACCCUGGACGACCGUCUGGACAAGGCCUGUGAGCCAGGAGUAGACUAUGUGUACAAGACCAGGCUUCUCAGGAAGGAGCCGUCAGA